AUCCUCUGGCUUCUUUUCUAUAAGCUGGUAUCCCUGUGUAUUGGGGAUGUGUUUGGCUCAUGAAGCUUAUGAGUUCCAUAUUAUUAUUAACUGCUUCACAGAGGAAAAAAAAUCCAUAAACUUAAAAAGCCAGGGGCCGGCCCCGUGGCGCAGUGGUUAAGUUCGUACGUUCCGCUUCCUGGUGGCCCCGGGCUCGCCGGUUCGGAUCCCGGGUGCGGACAUGGCGCCGCCUGGCAAAAAGCCAUGCUGUCGUAGGCGUCCCACGUAUAAAGUAGAGGAAGAUGGGCACGGAUGUUAGCUCCGGGCCAGGCUUCCUCAGCAAAAGAGAGGAGGACUGGCAGUAGUUAGCUCAGGGCUAAUCUUCCUAAAAAAAAAAACAAACCAGCUAAUUAUAUGACUUCUGAUCCAAUUCAGGGCACGCUUUUGCCCCAGGACUCUAGUUGAUGGCAAUGAGUGGCCAAGGCCCUGUGCUCGCAAGGAGGAAUGGAAAAGAAUGUUGAGAAUGACUCCAGCAAGUCCCAGCAUGGCCCGGACACCAGAUGAAGGCUUGUGGUUGGGUCAGGAGAAGCAGCUGUGAACACAUUUCUUAAUUGUGGCCAUGACUUCUAUUUUUAAGCACUUCCAGAAGUCCUCAGGGCGGCUGAGGAUCAUUCUACACUCCUGCUUUAAUCAUGCUCAGGCCGUCUGAGUCUGCACCUGGAAGAUUAGCCCUAAGCUAACUGCUGCCAAUCCUCCUCUUUGCACUGAGGAACACUGGCCGUGAUCUAACAUCCGUGCCCAUCUUUCUCUACUUUAUAUGUGGGAUGCCUACCACAGCAUGGUUUGCCAAGCAGUGCCAUGUCCACACCCAGGAUCCAAACCGGCGAACACCGGGCCACUGAAGCGGAACGUGCAAACCUAACCUCUGGGCCAUCGGGCCGGCCCCCAUACCAGCUAGUUUUUAUGGAGCGCUAUAGCAGAUGGUGUGGAUGCCUCAUCUCUGACCUCACCUCCAGCCACAGGGAACAGCUUCUGUGCACACUGGAAACUUCUUAUCUUAAGUGUCCAAGUCUCUUUGUUUCUCUUCUUGCAACCAAAAAAGUUUGUUCAGCUCAUGUGCAAGGCUGCUAGAAGUGCUGAAAAUUAAUGCUCUAGGGUCAACUCUUAAGCAACGAGGGCUGAAAGUCAGUGAAUAAAUACGCCGCUUCACCAUCCCUUGGUCGGAUAAUUCUGAAGGAUGCUUCUCAGAGGGUCUUCAGCAGGACUGAGCCCCAGCUGCCCACAGUGGCAAUCAGCUCACCGAUGCACACUUCAUUGGCAUUCCUCCCUCCCCUGCCUUGCUUCUCCCGCUUUUGUUUCUUGGGAUCAUCUUCUCA
rnacentral:lncRNA from 1 species